rnacentral:rRNA from 1 species
AUUGAACGCUAGCGCCAGGCCUAACACAUGCAAGCCGAGAGGAGCGGCGGACGGGAGAGUAAUGCCUAGGAAUCUGCCUGGUAGUGGGGGAUAACGUCCGGAAACGGGCGCUAAGACCGCAUACUAUCAGAUGAGCCUAGGAAGGAUUAGCUAGUUGGUGGGGUAAAGGCCUACCAAGGCGACGAUCCGUAACUGGUCUGAGAUGAUGAUCAGUCACACAGGAACUCGGGCAAUGUCGGGGCUCCUGCGGGAUGCACCGGUGGGGAAGAGUGGACAAUGGGCGAUGGCCUGAUCCAGCCAUGGCGCGUGUGUGAAGAAGGUCUUCGGAUUUUGAAGCACUUUAAGUUGGGAGGCGUUGCCAACAGAAUAGACAGCGGCUGACAUCGUGCCAGCAGCCGCGGUAAUAC